rnacentral:rRNA from 1 species
AGUUUGAUCCUGGCUCAGAACGAACGCUGGCGGCAGGCUUAACACAUGCAAGUCGAACGCAUCGCAAGAUGAGUGGCAGACGGGUGAGUAACGCGUGGGAACAUACCCUUUUCUACGGAAUAGCUCUGGGAAACUGGAAUUAAUACCGUAUACGCCCUACGGGGGAAAGAUUUAUCGGGGAAAGAUUGGCCCGCGUUGGAUUAGCUAGUUGGUGGGGUAAAGGCCUACCAAGGCGACGAUCCAUAGCUGGUCUGAGAGGAUGAUCAGCCACAUUGGGACUGAGACACGGUCCAGACUCCUACGGGAGGCAGCAGUGGGGAAUAUUGGACAAUGGGCGCAAGCCUGAUCCAGCCAUGCCGCGUGGGUGAAGAAGGCCUUCGGGUUGUAAAGCCCUUUUGUUGGGAAAGAAAAGCAGUCGGUUAAUACCCGAUUGUUCUGACGGUACCCAAAGAAUAAGCACCGGCUAACUUCGUGCCAGCAGCCGCGGUAA